rnacentral:rRNA from 2 species
UGCUGCACUGAUUGAUUUUGGUCGCCAACGAGUGGCGGACGGGUGAGUAACACGUAGGUAACCUGCCCAGAAGCGGGGGACAACAUUUGGAAACAGAUGCUAAUACCGCAUAACAACGUUGUUCGCAUGAACAACGCUUAAAAGAUGGCUUCUCGCUAUCACUUCUGGAUGGACUGCGGUGCAUUAGCUUGUUGGUGGGGUAAUGGCCUACCAAGGCGAUGAUGCAUAGCCGAGUUGAGAGACUGAUCGGCCACAAUGGGACUGAGACACGGCCCAUACUCCUACGGGAGGCAGCAGUAGGGAAUCUUCCACAAUGGGCGCAAGCCUGAUGGAGCAACACCGCGUGAGUGAAGAAGGGUUUCGGCUCGUAAAGCUCUGUUGUUAAAGAAGAACACGUAUGAGAGUAACUGUUCAUACGUUGACGGUAUUUAACCAGAAAGUCACGGCUAACUACGUGCCAGCAGCCGCGGUAAUACGUAGGUGGCAAGCGUUAUCCGGAUUUAUUGGGCGUAAAGAGAGUGCAGGCGGUUUUCUAAGUCUGAUGUGAAAGCCUUCGGCUUAACCGGAGAAGUGCAUCGGAAACUGGAUAACUUGAGUGCAGAAGAGGGUAGUGGAACUCCAUGUGUAGCGGUGGAAUGCGUAGAUAUAUGGAAGAACACCAGUGGCGAAGGCGGCUACCUGGUCUGCAACUGACGCUGAGACUCGAAAGCAUGGGUAGCGAACAGGAUUAGAUACCCUGGUAGUCCAUGCCGUAAACGAUGAGUGCUAGGUGUUGGAGGGUUUCCGCCCUUCAGUGCCGGAGCUAACGCAUUAAGCACUCCGCCUGGGGAGUACGACCGCAAGGUUGAAACUCAAAGGAAUUGACGGGGGCCCGCACAAGCGGUGGAGCAUGUGGUUUAAUUCGAAGCUACGCGAAGAACCUUACCAGGUCUUGACAUCUUGCGCCAACCCUAGAGAUAGGGCGUUUCCUUCGGGAACGCAAUGACAGGUGGUGCAUGGUCGUCGU